rnacentral:rRNA from 1 species
GAUGAACGCUAGCGGCAGGCCUAAUACAUGCAAGACGAACGGUAACUUUUGUAGCAAUAUGAGAGCUAGAGUGUCGUAAGGGUGCGUAACACGUAUGCAAUCUGCCCUGUACAGGAGGAUAGCUCCCCGAAAGGGGAAUUAAUACUCCGUAAGAUCACGAGGAGGCAUCUUUCUGUGAUUAAAGCUGAGGUGGUACAGGAUGAGCAUGCGCAUGAUUAGUUAGUUGGCGGGGUAACGGCCCACCAAGACGAUGAUCAUUAGGGGAACUGAGAGGUUGAUCCCCCACACUGGCACUGAGAUACGGGCCAGACUCCUACGGGAGGCAGCAGUAGGGAAUAUUGGACAAUGGGUGCGAGCCUGAUCCAGCCAUGCCGCGUGCAGGAAGACGGCCUUCUGGGUUAUAAACUGCUUUUGCCAGGGGAUAAAACGGUUCUGCGGAGCUAAUUGAAGGUACCUGGUGAAUAAGCCACGGCUAACUACGUGCCAGCCGCCGCCGUAACAC